rnacentral:rRNA from 1 species
AGCGAACGCUGGCGGCAGGCUUAACACAUGCAAGUCGAGCGGGCGUAGCAAUACGUCAGCGGCAGACGGGUGAGUAACGCGUGGGAACGUACCUUUUGGUUCGGAACAACACAGGGAAACUUGUGCUAAUACCGGAUAAGCCCUUACGGGGAAAGAUUUAUCGCCGAAAGAUCGGCCCGCGUCUGAUUAGCUAGUUGGUGAGGUAAUGGCUCACCAAGGCGACGAUCAGUAGCUGGUCGAGAGGAUGAUCAGCCACAUUGGGACUGAGACACGGCCCAAACUCCUACGGGAGGCAGCAGUGGGGAAUAUUGGACAAUGGGGGCAACCCUGAUCCAGCGACGCCGCGUGAAGGACGAAGGUCUUCGGAUUGUAAACUUCUUUAGAGGGAUGAACUGGCUAUUGAAUAAAUAGCUUUGACAGUACUCUCUGAAUAAGCCACGGCUAACUACGUGCCAGCAGCCG